rnacentral:tRNA from 1 species
CGGCCUAUAGCUCAAUUGGUAGAGCAUCGCUCUUACAAAGCGGGUGUUUGUGGUUCGAGUCCACAUGGGCCGA